CCUACGGGAGGCAGCAGUGAGGAAUAUUGGUCAAUGGGCGAGAGCCUGAACCAGCCAAGUCGCGUGAGGGAAGACGGUCCUAUGGAUUGUAAACCUCUUUUGCCGGGGAGCAAAAAGCGGUACGUGUACCGCAUCGAGAGUACCCGGAGAAAAAGCAUCGGCUAACUCCGUGCCAGCAGCCGCGGUAAUACGGAGGAUGCGAGCGUUAUCCGGAUUUAUUGGGUUGAAAGGGUGCGCAGGCGGCGAGUUAAGUCAGCGGUAAAAUUUCGGGGCUCAACCCCGACAAGCCGUUGAAACUGGCGUGCUAGAGUGGGCGAGAAGUAUGCGGAAUGCGUGGUGUAGCGGUGAAAUGCAUAGAUAUCACGCAGAACUCCGAUUGCGAAGGCAGCAUACCGGCGCCCAACUGACGCUCAGGCACGAAAGCGUGGGUAUCGAACAGGAUUAGAUACCCUAGUAGUC
rnacentral:rRNA from 1 species